rnacentral:lncRNA from 1 species
UCCUAGGGCGGUGGCCCAGCUGCUGCCUUUCAAGCUGGCACGCCUUUGGUCCUAGGUGCUGCUGAGGCUCAUCUCCAUCAGAGGUGCCCAGAAGGUGGGGGACCACUUCCAAAUGGGGUUGAAGGGAUGAACCUGCCUCCCUCCCUGCAAAUGCAGGAUCCCCUGUUUUGGCGUGCAGACACUGGAGCAGAAAGCAAGAGAAGGCAGCAUGGCAAAGAGACAUGAAAGGGAGUCUCUCUCCUGGACGCUGAGCCCUUUAAGAAAGAAGGGGAAGCGCUGACCGGCCUCAGCUCUCGCCAGCUGCCCGCGACCGAUGGAGGCGAGAUCUACCAAGGGGAUGUGAUUUGCUGCUUUUUCUCCUGGGGGGCCGUGUCAGGUCUCUGGAGAAGAGGUGGCUUAAAGGAAUCGCCGUUUCCCCGCCGGCCCCGUGUCCCCAGAUGCCUCCCGUCGUGCCAUUGUUUGGUGCGGGUCUGACUGUUAGCAAGUGGCCAUUGUGCUCUCAGAUAUGUGCUAUUGGCACCGAGCCUCUGUGGCCUCAAAAAUCCCUAUCUAGCAGCAACUUUUGGAGCCAGGGUUGACCACACCUGCAUUCAGCUUGGCCAAGGG